GGAAAGUUGGUAUUUCGCUUUCACAGGGCUAAUAAAUUAGUUACAAGAGAAAAGUUUCAGACCAUGAACCAUUAAAGAGGUCCCUUUACAAACCUAACAAUCAACUUAAUCAUAUAAGCCCGAGAACCCAAACAAGAAACCCUAAAUUAUAUUGGGUAUCAAUCCAAUCCAAAGAGCUAAAACUUCAACGGGAGCCGUCUUACACCUUAUACCUAGUAGAGAUAGCAACUCGACUUCAAGCAUGUAGGCAGAAAAAGCCCAUCCUCAACCAUAACUAAAAAACUUUUGAAAUGCAGUCAAGCAAAGGACCCAAUAACAAAUAAUAUAACUGUCAUGAAAAUGAACCUUGAAAGGCCAAUCCAAGCCAAAAGAGGAAUGGGGAUGGUAGAGCUCCACAACUUCUCAAUUUCGUAUAGCUGAUAGAUUCAACGUCAGAAUCUAAGUCAAAAUCUAAG
rnacentral:misc_RNA from 1 species